AGGAGCAUUUUCUGAACUUCACAGAAACAGGAUGGUAAGACUCUUUGUCCAACCUCACGGGCAUGAAGAUUUUUCUGCUCUCUGAAGAGGUUUGCAAUACAGGGUGCCCUGCUCUUGGCUGGAUUCCAGAGAGCACAUUUGUAUAAAAAUGUUCCCAUUAUGGAGUGUGACAUCUAUUAAUGGAGCACCAUAUGCACCAGAGCCUCCCCCUCGCCACCGCCACCACCACUGCCGCCGCAGCCGCCUCACAACCUGAAGAAGACGUCUGCUUGUCACCAGGAAAGAUCUGCAGAGCUGCUUGAUAAUAGAAAAGUCAAGGAAUCCUAUACAAGUCAA